UACGUAGGGGGCAAGCGUUGUCCGGAUUCAUUGGGCGUAAAGAGCGUGUAGGCGGCCAGGUAGGUCGGUUGUGAAAACUGGAGGCUCAACCUUCAGAGGUCGACCGAAACCAUCUGGCUAGAGUCCGGGAGAGGAGAGUGGAAUUCCUGGUGUAGCGGUGAAAUGCGCAGAUAUCAGGAAGAACACCCGUGGCGAAAGCGGCUCUCUGGAACGGUACUGACGCUGAGACGCGAAAGUGUGGGGAGCGAACAGG
rnacentral:rRNA from 1 species